rnacentral:rRNA from 1 species
UCUCCAGACUCCUACGGGAGGCAGCAGUGGGGAAUAUUGCACAAUGGGGGAAACCCUGAUGCAGCGACGCCGCGUGAGUGAAGAAGUAUUUCGGUAUGUAAAGCUCUAUCAGCAGGGAAGAAAAUGACGGUACCUGACUAAGAAGCCCCGGCUAACUACGUGCCAGCAGCCGCGGGAAUACGUAGGGGGCGAGCGUUAUCCGGAUUCACUGGGUGUAAAGGGAGCGUAGACGGCCAUGCAAGCCAGGGGUGAAAGCCCGGGGCCCAACCCCGGGACUGCCCUUGGAACUGCAUGGCUGGAGUGCGGGAGGGGCAGGCGGAAUUCCUGGUGUAGCGAUGAAAUGCGUAGAUAUCAGGAGGAACACCGGCGGCGAAGGCGGCCUGCUGGACCGCGACUGACGUUGAGGCUCGAAAGCGUGGGGAGCGAACAGGAUUAGAUACCCCGGUA